GUCCUGUCCCAGAUAAAACCCCUCGACAGAGUUGUUUCCUCGGCCAGUUCUGGGCUGAGGAGGCAUUGCAAUAAAUCCCUCCUGUUGCACCAGCACUGUCUCCCUCUUUGUCUCCUCUGUCUCGUCGUGACUGACAGCGACCAGCCUGCCCCUUUUUAGGACAAGGACUCACUGGAGUCAGCCCUGUUUGCCAGCAUACAGGCUGACCCUCAGUGGCCGGUGUCCGCGGUGCCCGAGCUAGCCGGUGGUACGGACCUGAGUCCGCAGCAGGCACCGUGACAGCGGUUUGGCGCCCAACGCGUGGCCCUAAAAAAGGGACUUUUAGUCGCCUCAAGGACCUCGCGGACAGGACUGGCGGAGCUCUGAAUAGGAGCAGAGACUCCUUGAAAUCAUCCUUGGACGUCCCGCCGCCUCCGGUCGAGCAGCCUCUACGGAGGAGCACUCCCGGAGGAAGGGAAGGUAGCCGGUUUCGAGGCACUCAGAAGAUGGUCUUCCCUCAACGGAGGAGUUCCUGACACCAGGUUUUCGCACCCACACCAGGGAUCAGAGAUUUAAGAUUUGGCAGUCCAGAAUUGACAUCCUGGUGCCACAAAGGGUGACAUCCCUUUGUGACCAUUGACACAAAUAAACAAUAAUAACAAGAAAGUAUUGAGGAUGCAACUACGAACAACUCCAUUUGCCAUGCAGAAGAAUUCAUCAGACAUACGCAUAGAAGAAAAUUGUUGUGCUUACUCUGAAAACAAUGGCACCUGGGUGACAUUUUUUCAACACCUGCUCAAUGAGGACAACUACAGUCCUAGCAAGCUCGAGAUGAAGAGUUUGUCACAGAAAAAAGAGAACCUUUCUAUGUCUCAGUCUGGAAAGCACUCUGUAUCCCUAGGACCAUGACACACGUGAAAUUAAGUUAUCCCACUGCUGUUUAUCUGUUAUCCCAGAAAAAAAUCCACAGGGCUCUUCAAAUCCAAGAGCCGAAUUACUUCAUUGCAAGCCCCACGUUAUCCUGCCAUUCCCAUGCAGAUUUUAUCACCAGUCUUUUAUGCACUCAGACCUUAAACAAAACUAAACACUAAACCUGCUGUUCCUAAUAAAACAAGAUGUUGUCUCCUUGGGACUAAUACCUGUAGCAACAAACUAAGGCAAAAGGAGAAAGAGAGAAAUAGAGAAAUGAGAGAAGGGAAGGAAAGGGAAGUUCUGGGAAGCUCCGGGAAGGGAAGUUCCAGGAAGGGAAGGUCUUGAACAUGGCUCAGACUGACAAAUCAUGCCAAGCAAGAAGUUCUGAACUUCUACCUAUCAGGAAAUCAAAAAUCUGAAACCAAAGCAACACCACUUUGAUUGGUUGAAUAACUUUUUUAAGAGUGGAAUGUAGUAAGGCCAAAAUAAGGAAGGACAUGAAUGA